GAGCGUUCUGUACGGAGUGAAGUCGUAGCGAAAGCGGCGGUGGACUGUACAGAAGUGAGAAUGCCGGAAUAAGUAGCGAGAAUUAAGUGAGAAUCUUAAUGGCCGAAAGUCUAAGGUUUUUGGAGGAAGGUUCGUCCGCUCCAAGUAAGUCGGGAGCUAAGGUCAGGCCGAAAGGCGUAGCCGAUGCACAAACGGUUGAUAUUCCGUUACCGUCUAUAAUUUAAACAAAGGGACACAUACAAAGCGUUUAACCCGGGCGAUGGUUGACCCGGGCGCAAGGGACUGAAAUUAGAGUAGGGAAGUAAAUGUGGCGUAUGGCGAGAAAAGCUUUGUGUAUAGAAGUAGACGCCCGUACCGCAAACCGACACAGGUGGACAGGAAGAGAAUUCUAAGGCCAGCGGGAGAAGGGUAGUUAAGGAACUCGGCAAAUUGACUCCGUAACUUCGGAAUAAGGAGUGCUCGAAAGAGCCGCAGAGAAUAGGCCCAGGCGACUGUUUAGCAAAAACACAGGUCUCUGCCAAAUCGAAAGAUGAAGUAUAGGGGCUGACACCUGCCCGGUGCCGGAAGGUUAAGAGGAGGAGUGCAAGCUCCGAAUUGAAGCCCCGGUAAACGGCGGCCGUAACUAUAACGGUCCUAAGGUAGCGAAAUUCCUUGUCGGGUAAGUUCCGACCCGCACGAAUGGUGUAACGAUCUGGGCACUGUCUCAACUACCCACCCGGCGAAAUUGUAGUACCGGUGAAGAUGCCGGUUACCUGCGGCAAGACGGAAAGACCCCAUGGAGCUUUACUGUAGCCUGAUAUUGGGUUUCGGAAAUCUAUGUACAGGAUAGGCGGGAGACUGGGAAGUAUGAGCGUCAGCUUAUACGGAGUCAUUGUUGGGAUACCGCCCUUAGGUUUCUGGAAUUCUAACCUGCGACCGUGAAUCCGGUCGGGGGACAUUGUCAGGUGGGCAGUUUGACUGGGGCGGUCGCCUCCGAAAAGGUAACGGAGGCGCUCAAAGGUUGGCUCAGCACGGACGGAAACCGUGCCUCAGAGUGUAAACGCAAAAGCCAGCCUAACUGCGAGGAUGACGGUCCGAGCAGUAACGAAAGUUGGAGUUAGUGAUCCGGCGGUAUGUGAAUGGAAAUGCCGUCGCUCAACGGAUAAAAGCUACCCUGGGGAUAACAGGCUGAUCUCCCCCAAGAGUCCACAUCGACGGGGAGGUUUGGCACCUCGAUGUCGGCUCAUCACAUCCUGGGGCUGUAUUCGGUCCCAAGGGUUCGGCUGUUCGCCGAUUAAAGUGGUACGCGAGCUGGGUUCAGAACGUCGCGAGACAGUUCGGUCCCUAUCUGUCGUGGGCGCAGGAUAUUUGAGGAGUUCUGUCCUUAGUACGAGAGGACCGGGAUGGACGUACCUCUGGUGCACCAGUUGUCAUGCCAAUGGCACGGCUGGGCAGCUACGUACGGAACGGAUAAACGCUGAAAGCAUCUAAGCGUGAAGCCGACUCCAAGAUUAGAUAUCCCAUUGCAUAAGCAAGUAAGACCCCUUGAGGACUACGAGGUUGAUAGGCUGCGUGUGUAAGUGUCGUGAGGCAUUUAGCUUGGCAGUACUAAUAGGUCGAGGGCUUGACCA
rnacentral:rRNA from 1 species